UACGUAGGGGGCAAGCGUUAUCCGGAAUUACUGGGUGUAAAGGGAGAGUAGGCGGUAUGGUAAGUUAGAUGUGAAAGCCUGAGGCUUAACCACAGGAUUGCAUUUAAAACUAUCAAACUAGAGUACAGGAGAGGGAAGCGGAAUUCCUAGUGUAGCGGUGAAAUGCGUAGAUAUUAGGAAGAACACCAGUGGCGAAGGCGGCUUUCUGGACUGAAACUGACGCUGAGGCUCGAAAGCGUGGGGAGCGAAC
rnacentral:rRNA from 1 species